ensembl:snoRNA
GUAGCCUCUUAAGGCAGAUAGUGCUUUAAGAGGCUAACCCAGAAAGAAGGGUAUAAUAAUUUUCCAUUGAACCCAAAGCUGAGAUUUAAACCUAUUCUUUGGAUCCUGUCUGGAGUUACAACU